CAGUAAGGAAUAUUGGUCAAUGGGCGCAAGCCUGAACCAGCCAUGCCGCGUGCAGGAAGACGGCCCUACGGGUUGUAAACUGCUUUUAUACCGGAAUAAACUCCCGAACGUGUUCGGGACUGAAUGUACGGUAAGAAUAAGGAUCGGCUAACUCCGUGCCAGCAGCCGCGGUAAUACGGAGGAUCCAAGCGUUAUCCGGAUUUAUUGGGUUUAAAGGGUGCGUAGGCGGCUUAUUAAGUCAGGGGUGAAAGACGGUGGCUCAACCAUCGCAGUGCCUUUGAUACUGAUGAGCUUGAAUACACUAGAGGUAGGCGGAAUGUGACAAGUAGCGGUGAAAUGCAUAGAUAUGUCACAGAACACCAAUUGCGAAGGCAGCUUACUAUGGUUGUAUUGACGCUGAGGCACGAAAGCGUGGGGAUCAAACAGGAUUAGA
rnacentral:rRNA from 1 species